UGUGAUGGGGGAAUCCUACGUGCUCACGUUCUACGUGGGCUUUUGCCAAGAGUAGAGACCUUGGCGAAUAAGGGGUGGGUAAGACUGGUGCCAGCCGCCGCGGUAACACCAGCGCCCCGAGUGGCAAUCGCGAUUAUUGGGCCUAAAGCGUCCGUAGCCGGACAGGUAAAUCCGCUGUGAAAUCGUCGUGCUCAACGCGACGGCAUGCAGUGGAGACUGCUUGUCUCGAGACCGGGAGGAGUCAGAGGUAUGCCGUGGGGACUGGUAAAAUGGAAUAAUCCACGGUAGACCACCAAUGGCGAAGGCAUCUGACGAGAACGGAUCUGACGGUGAGGGACGAAAGCCAGGGGAGCGAACCGGAUUAGAUACCCGAGUAGUCCUGGCCGUAAACGCUGUGAGCUAGGUGUAGCCUAUCCCAAGAGGAUGGGCUGUGUCGAAACGAAGGUGCUAAGCUCACCGCCUGGGAAGUACGGUCGCAAGACUGAAACU
rnacentral:rRNA from 1 species